UAUCUGGUUGAUCCUGGGGGAGGUCACCGCUUCGGGGUUCGAUUAAGCCAUGCGAGUCGAGAGGGUUCAGACCCUCGGCGGACUGCUCAGUAACACGUGGAUAAUCUGCGUAUGUCCCGGUCUGGUACAGUGGCCUCCUCUAUAAAUCGGGAGUCCAACGAGGGGGGCAAGAGAGGGAGAAGAGAGUGUGGGGAACGGCCACUUUUCCUCUUUUCGGUACGGGUUGUGGCGCGCCAGACCCCGGAGAUGGAAUCUGAGACACGAUUCCAGGCCCUACGGGGGCGGAGGGAGGUGCGAUUACUUUACAAUGCAGGAAACUGUGAUAGGGACCCCCGAGUGCCCGUAAACGCGGCUGUCCCGGUGUUUAAAACACAUCGAAGAAAGGGCCGGGCAAGACCGGUGCAGCCGCGCGUAAUACAGGCGGCUCGAGUGUGACACUUUUAUAGGCUUAAAGCGUUCGUAGCUUGAUUUUAGUCUCCUUGGGAAAUCUCACGGCUUACUGUGAAGCGUCUAAAAGAUACCUGGGAUCUAAG
rnacentral:rRNA from 1 species